AGUAACCGGAAGUGAAAUUUCACCUCCUUAGCAACGAGCGCGAGCGCGCGCAUAAAUCGGUUAAUGGGCCCUUAAAGUCGUUCUUGACUUGACCAGUGCAUUUGUAAGCUCUCCCCAGAUCUCCAAUACUAAAUUUAGCAGUUACAUGUUUCAAACCCCUUAGGUCUACAUUCUUCUCUUUUCAGAACGAGACGUUCGUAAUCUUAAAUGAAUCCGAGUCUUGUUGGAGCUACGAUAUGGAUUUUACAUAUAAUGUAGUCGUACUUCCAUGUUUCCGUGGCUUCACACAUAAAGAACUACCUUGGAUUCACUCUUCAACGGCAGCACCGAAAAUCACAGGUGAGCUAUCCAAGAGGAUAAAAUGAAGAAUAAAUUCUGACCACCCUCCGUUUAGCAAGUUUAAGCUAGCGGAUAACCAAAUGUUUCUCAAGGCCAUCAUCAAAUAUUCUGAGCUACGGAUUUUAACCACAUAAGUACAGUACAGAGAUGCAUCCUGAAAUACACUCUCCAUUGGUGCGAUUACCUAUAUAUAUUUAGUUAAUGUAUUUUAUUAUUUUUACUGAAAUAUUACCUCAUCGUGAUUGGCUGAGAGCUGGCCCAUUUAUUA